rnacentral:lncRNA from 1 species
AUAAGAGAAUAUAAGUAUAAAACAUGCAUGAAAGACAUUUGAAAUAGUUUAUUUAUUUCUGCAUGCAUAACAUUACAGCUCACAACAUUAUACAUGAUCAUAGCAAAAAAUCAACACAUAAUUGCACCAAUAUAAUAUAGGGAAAUCCUCCCAAAGUAGAAAAUGUAAAUAAAUGUAUUAAGUACAUACUAAAAAAUGUAAAUAUUCUAAGAAAAAAU